AAGUCGUAACAAGGUUUCCGUAGGUGAACCUGCGGAAGGAUCAUUGUCAAAACCUGCAAAGCAGAACGACCAGCGAACUUGUGAAAAACACUUAUGGGAGGGACGAAGGGUGCUAACCUUGAAUCCUUCCUACUGGGUCACUUGGGACGAUUGUGUCGUGAAAGCGACAACGACGCCCCUCGUUGAUUCAAAUAACAACUCGGCGCGGUCUGCGCCAAGGAAAAUCUUAACGGAUAGAGCACGUCUUCAUGACGAUGUUGUAAUUCCGAUCUUAUAACGACUCUCGGCAAUGGAUAUCUCGGCUCUCGCAUCGAUGAAGAACGUAGCGAAAUGCGAUACUUGGUGUGAAUUGCAGAAUCCCGUGAACCAUCGAGUCUUUGAACGCAAGUUGCGCCCAAGGCCAUUAGGUCGAGGGCACGUCUGCCUGGGCGUCACGCACAGCGUCGCUCCCACCAUGAUGCCUUUGUUCUGUUAUCGGGCAACUGCAACGUGGCUUGGGAAGCGGAUAUUGGCCCCCCGUACCUUUGUAGGCGCGGCCGGCCUAAAAUUCGGCCCUCGGCGACGAGCGUCACGAUCAGUGGUGGUUGAAUAACCCCUUUGUCAUAGACCGGUAUCGUGUUGUUUCGUCGUCUAUUUGGGCCAUAUGGACCCUUGCGUGUCGUAUAAACGACAUUCACUCUGCGACCCCAGGUCAGGCGGGACUACCCGCUGAGUUUAA
rnacentral:rRNA from 2 species